rnacentral:lncRNA from 1 species
UUCAAUUCCGGACAAUUUCCGAUGGUCUUCCCGACGAUCAUCCCCGCUCCUUUCCUAUGUUUGAGGACCUUAUUAAUUCCUUGCAAGCUGUGGCAGAGCCUUUUCUUAGAAAAAUAUUAACAGAGUCCGGUGUCACGUGUGUUAUACCUGAUGGAUUAUUUUAUUAUGCAGUGGAUAUUUGUAAUGAGGUUGGAGUUUCUGUUAUUUCCUUUGAUACUAUUAGUCCUUGUUGCCUAUGGGUUUACCUCUGUUUCCCCAAACUCAUUCAAACUGGAGAUAUUCCCUUCAAAGGUACUUUUCAUUUUCGGAAAAAAUCUUCAUCUUCUUCUAUGCCCAAAUCAAUUUUUGCAACUUGAAAAUUUUGUCAAGACAACAGAUAUUUAAAAAUACAUUUUCGAAAUUUAGAGUUUAGUAUUACAUCUAGUAUGUUUCAUUAGCUAGCUUCUUCCAAGUAGAAAACAAUUUCAUUUUACUUAGCUUCUUAGAUGAAUUUAUGCUAUUUUAUUUGGAGUUAUGUUACUGAUCAUCUAACAGGCAAAAAUUUACCUAUGUUGUUAAGGAAAUGAUUUGGACAUGUUGAUAGAAAAUGUACCUGGCAUGGAAGAUCUUCUCCGGCGUCGCGAUUUUCCAUUCUAUCGCCUCACAAAUUGUGCAACAGACCUCUAUUGCCAACUUGCUCUCAAGGAAAUCCAAAGUAUACCUCGAUCCCAUGGACUCAUAUUAAAUACAUUUGAAGAUUUGGACGGUCCAUUACUAUCUCACAUUCGCUCUCAUUGUCCACAAACGUAUGCUGUUGGGCCGCUACACUUGCAACUCAAAACUAGGCUUGCAGAUAAAAGAAUGUCCUCUUCAAAUAGUUUGUGGGAAGAAGAUCACAGUUCAAUUCAAUGGCUUGAUGCACAGCCCAUAGAAUCAGUAAUCUAUGUAAGUUUUGGAAGUCUUGCAACUUUGACAAAGGAGGAAAUGUUGGAGUUUUGGCAUGGGUUAGUAAAUAGUGGAAUCAGAUUUUUGUGGGUCAUGAGGUCCGACUUAUUGAGGGAAGAAGAGUUUAGCCACCAAUUUGUGAAGGAGCUAGCGGCCGGUUGCAAAGAAAGAGCCUACAUAGUGAGUUGGGCUCCACAAGAGAAAGUACUAUCGCACCCAGCUAUUGGUGGAUUUUUAACUCACAGUGGAUGGAACUCGACCAUGGAAAGUAUUGUUGAAAGAAAGCCUAUGAUCUGUUGGGCUGUUUAUGUGGACCAACGAGUCACUAGUAGAUUUGUGGGUGAGGUGUGGAAAAUUGGGUUGGACAUGAAAGACAUUUGUGACAGAGACAAUAUUGAGAAGGUGGUGAAAGAUUUGAUGGUAACAAAUAAGGAUAAGUUGAAGAAAUCGGUUGACAAGUUAUCUAUGUUGGCAGAAAUUAGUGUUGGAGAAGGAGGUUCAUCGUACAAUGCUUUUGAAUAUCUCGUCGAUGACAUUAAAAAGUUAGGCAGAAGAGACAAGGAUAUCAAUCCUAACUGCAUAGGAUAAACAGGGUAAUGCUACCAAUCAUUAUUUUGUAGACAAAGAUUAUAUUAUUUUCUUCUUCUUUUAGCGGAUACUACAAGUUAUUCAUACAGGUACACUAGAUGAGAUAAAGCCCGCGUUAGCAUGGGUCUAGCUCAAUGUUAGUGUAUAAAAUUGUAUGUUUGGCCUUUUAAAUAGGUUCCUCUUUAAAAAUUGAAGUCAUGUCCGACUUAAUUUUUCGUGCUCAAGUAUAAACUAGUAUUUGAUAGAAAGACUUUUGCGACAAAACAAGCUGGUCAUAGAUCUAGUCCACUUCACACUUCUAAAAUGUUAUGUCCCAACUUUAUGACUGACUGGUUUGUUCUUAAUUCUCAGCUAUCCUAGUUUCCAGAUUCCCUGUGAUCUCUAUAAAUCUGGAAAUCUCUCCCCGGGCUUUGAUUUUGCAGUCCAAAUUGGAGACCAAAAAUCUAAUUCUCCUGCCAUCUCCAACUUUAAUAAGUGCAUGUUUGAGAGAAUAUCUCUCACCCUUUGCUAUUCUUGUUUCAAUAGACUCAUUCCAAGGGAUGUGAUCGUUUGAAACUAGUCCCUUUAUGCUGUUGUUGGCUGUUCUCUCAGAAACAUCAAUUUGGUAUUGCAAAAUUCCAUGACUGCUUCUUGUCUGGUGUCUCAGUUUUGUGCUGCCAAAAUACCUCCUCCCUAUCUUGGCCUUAGCUUCCAUGCUGUAAGAUGAAUUAACUUCCCUCAUCCAGAGAACCUUGUAACCAAUUGUUCACUUUUGCUGGAACUUCAAAUAUUAAGAGAUCACUGUGGUUUGGAAUGGCUCUAACACACUGUUUAUCAAGGCCAGCCUGCCUGCCUCCAGAGGAUAGAUACCGCGUUUUCCAUGUGGCUUAGCCUUCUUUUAAAAAGAAAAAUCCACUACUUGAUAUUCGUUGUAGUUGUUCUUUUAUGUUUUGCUCCUAAUAGCAUUCCUAGCUUUGAUUUAGGUAUUAUGCCUUAGGAUUCCUGCUGCUGAAUGUUUACUAAAGUUCACAGAGACAUAGAAUUGCAGAAAUUUAGCAGAGAGGAACAAGUUUUUGUUGUCAUCAAGCUCCAUGCCCUCAUUGACAAACAGUCGACAAGUGUAUACAUCAUACCUUAAAUUUCUAUUAUUCAACAACGUAUAUUGAUGCUUUUCUAUCCAUUCAUGAACAAAUGUUUGAGCAAUUAGCUUAACUUUCCUAUUUAUUUUGAAAUCUAGAUAUUGUGAGUGCAUAUUGUUUUUUGGGAAUGUUGAGUUAUCAUUGACAAUAAAUCUAGCAUAUACCUCCAGAUGUUCAUGCCCUUUCUCCUUACCAAUGUAUAAAGUGAGAUGUAUGCAGACUUUAUCACUAUCCUUAUAACUUCAUUUUUUUAAAAUCAUGACAUGAAUAUCAUUUAUAACCUCAGCUAAGCAUUAAUAAAAUGUGGAUCUUCGAAUAUGCUCCAGGAUAUUCUAAUCAAUUCGUAAUCACUUAAUUUAAGAUUUAAAUAUGAAAAAUUAAUUGAGAUGUGCGUAAACUUAUCCAACAUUGUUAUUGUUUAAAAAAUAUAAUUGUAUGAAAUAAGGAGCAUUAGCUAGACUUCAGAACAUGAAAAAGACUUAAAACGUUUUCAAUGAGAUCUUGAAUACUCUAAACGUAUAAGAAUUUUCCAAGCAUCACCACAAACGUCAGCCCAUAUCUUAAGACUAAUUAUAAGAUCGUAUUAACACCUUUUUAUAGUAUAGAUUAAUAAAGCGGAGUUGAACAUGCCCAUUCGCCUUAUUUAGAGAGUUAUUUUAGUCAAAGUCUAGCUAUAAAAUAUCAAAUCUUGAACACUCUUAACGAAAUUGCUGACUUUGUCAUUGAAUACAGUGACUAAUUGUGAAAAGUUUGUUUUGCUUUUUUUCUCCUUUGGCUUCACCGUAUAAGUAGCAUCAAUUGAUACUUUCAUUUAAAUAGCAAUUGCAAGUGUAACCGAAAAAUCUUAUCCUCCUUGGACCUUUUCUAUGAAUAAACAACAUAUUAAAUUUUAAAUUCUUUGUGACAGAAGCAAACAUUUCCUUAAUCAACACACAAAAUUGAGGAUUACGACUUUGAAUUUAGAAACGCUCUGCUGUCGACAUCCAGAUAAGCAAUUUGGGUGGGACUUUAUGAUAAUCUUAAACGUAAGGCCGUUUAUACUUAAGUUAUAUGUACAAACAAUUUAUUUAACAUUGAGUAUAUAACAUGUUAUUUACUUAUAUAUAUUUUUUUACGUUAUCAAAUAAUGUUUACUAUAUACAAUUGCCAAUUUUACAAGUAAACUAAAUUAGAUUUAAAACUCUGUACAUAUAAUAUUAAGUCUUCCCAUAAAUCAUAAUCAUACCACGCCAAAAAAGCAUAGUCCCACUAGCCUUAGAUUAUCACAAACCAAAGAAAACUCAACUCCCCAUUGCCCCUCCAAUAUGUCAAUAUUUUACAACAAAAAAAAGUCGGCUUUCAUUUCUUUUCUUGCUUUCUAAUCAGAGCCAGAUAGAAUUUUGUCGUGAUGGAAUUGAAUAACUUCUUUCCCACUUCGUCUUUUACAAAAAUAUUUAUCUUCCCAUAGUAAGGUACAAUCAUCACACACGCACAGUACAAUACCAAUCGUUUGGUACCUAGGAUAAUGGUGAAAUAUUUUAAAUUUAUAACGCAUGAUCAUGUGAGAUAAGUUAGUUCAAUUUCGAAAGAAUUUGAUCCACAUAUAUCAAAUGAUCCCUUUAUAGAAUUAUAGAAAAAUCAUACCAUGGAUUUAGUGGAAACCUUAAAUAAUUCAUGGCGGGUCCAUAUUUGAAUUGAUAGGUUCAAUUUUAGGGAUGAAGAGGUGAUCAGUUGAAUAUUUAAACUAGGUAUAUAGUUCAAUAUUAUUUUUUUAUACAUUUAUUUUAAAAUACUUCGAGUGAAAUUUUUAGUUUCACCAUUAUUCAACCUUUGCGUUUUUAUCAUUAACUACAACAAAUAACACAGCCAAUGUAAUCUGAUAAAUGGGGUCCGAAGACCUUAUCACAAAUUAUUUUUAAAAUUAGAAUUUUCAAAAUUAAAUAUUUGAAAUUCAGUUUAACCGGUUAAUUAUACACUAGAUAGGGCACUAAAUAAAAGCUUUUCUAGUACAUUUCCACAAAUUCACACGCACACGCACUAACAAAAAAGUUAGUUCGUGGUCCAUAUAAUUAUACCAAAAUAUAAGUGGAGGAACCAUAGUACCAAAAAAGAACAGAAAAAAAAGAGAAUGGGUAACAACAUAGGAGGAAGUACGAAGGUGAUGAAGAUUAACGGCGAAAUCCUUAAACUGAAGACACCAAUAACAACUUCAGAGGUAGUUAAAGACUACCCAGGUCAUGUUUUAUUGGAAUCAGAAGCAGUGAAGAAAUUUGGGAUUAGAGCUAAGCCAUUAGAGGCAGAACAAGAGCUGAAGCCGUGCAAAAUAUAUUUUCUUGUAGAAUUGCCUCUGUUUCCUAAACAAGAAAUUACUAGUAAUAAUAAGGUUACAAGAAGGGUGAAAUCUGAUGUUCAUAUGAACGCACAAGAUCGGCUGGAGUGCCUUAUGUUAAGCCGGAGAUCGGCUUCGGAUUUAUCGAUUUCGAAGCCGAGUAAUGGAGCUGUUGUUCAGCUGAAGAUGAAGCUGCCCAGAAGUGUAGUACAAAAGUUGAUUGAAGAAAGCAGAGAUGAAACAGAGGUUGCUGAGAAAAUUAUGGAUCUUUGUAUGCACAAUUCCUAAAACUUACCUACUCGUUUUUUUCCUUAAUUGGUUUGCAUCUUUUUUGUUUGGUCACUAUAAACAAUAGGCUCAAAAUCUAAUUUCAAGAAUUGCAUAUAGUUUUACAGAAACUUGUGCUUGUUUGCUGUUUAUUUGCUGUUAGUAUUGUUAUAAUUAGUAUUGAUCUUCUUUGUUCACUCUUUUUUUUUUUUGUUUAUUUAACAUUUUUAUUCUGUGUUAAUGGAUAGAUUAGUGGUUUAGCUGAGGAUUGAGAUCAUUUGAGACCAUUCGUCAAGGAUGACAAAUAUUCUUGUAGCCCUUAUCCAUCCCACUUCUAUUUUGUUUUUUUCUCUCCCUCCAAAUUUAUUUGAUUCCACUCCACUACGUUUAAUUUUGUCUUUCGGUUUGGCCGUUAUCAUGGGAUAAAAGUCUCCGUACAUUUUAUUUGUAGGAUUAUAUUGGAUUUAUUAUUAUUGUUAUUGUCGAUGUAAUUUAUCAGAAACAAACUAUUUAUCUUCUUUAUAUAGGAAGGUGUGUGUAUACGAGAGCUUUUAUUCAAUUUGAUGUUAUUGUUGAGUUGUUGUGUUAUGAAAGAAUCUAUUUAAUGCAAAAAACAACAACUAUAUUUGGUAUAAUUACAAGGUCCUUUUUAUUUAUAUACUAGAUUGUGUUACCAGAAAAAUAAAAUCCUUGUCUAGAUUGCAUUAUCAUCGGAAAAAAAAUAAAAAAUCCCUGACUGUGUAUGAACGAAAAAAUAACCAUAAAAGAAGGUAUUUUUCAUGCUAAAGUAGAUAGAACUUCAUGGUCAUAAACCUUAGAAAAGAAUUGAAAACUUUGUAAAUUAAUUGAAGAAUAUACCUUUGAACUAUGAUAGUUAUGUGUUUGAUAUUUUAAGAUGGUGUAUGGAGUAUCUUUUAUCAUCAAAUAAUGUACUUGAUUUUAUUUAUUUUUUACCCAAAACUAAAGACCCUACCCCUUUUUCAAUUUUAAACCCAUGCUUCAGUUUCAACCUUUAUCUGCCCUUUCCUAAGCAAAUUGUACUUCCCGAUCCCUAUUUUACCUACUGUUUUCAGCCGUAUUGGUUGCAAUUGGUCUUCAAAGCGAAUUCAUUUUAACAACAAAUUCAUUUGAGCUCGAGGUUUUUGAUUCAGUGGCAGACCCAUUUUAGAAUUUAAAGUUUUGUUCGUCAAUGGUUAUAGUAUUUUCAACCUUUUUUUUGACAACAAAUGAUCUUCGAAAGUUUUCAUUCGAUUGCAAACUCAAUUUAAAGCCUGAAGCUUGUUCAUCAAAGGUGAGGUAGUAUUUCCAAUCCGUUUCAGCAACUAAUUAAUAUGAACCAAAAAUUGAAAUCGAAUUUCUUGUUUUUCAUUGAAAACACAUGCUGCUGUAUUUUUUUAUUUGGAGAUUGAUUGUAAAUGAAGAUGAAUUAAACAACAUUUUUUUCUUUGUUUGAUUUAAUAGGUUUUGGGUUUAUGUUUGAAUGGAGAUAAAGGGAUAGCUUUUUUUUUUUUUUUAAUGUCAUUGUAUUUUAUUAGAGGAUAUUGAAAAUGAAUGGAUUCUUUUAAAAUUUUGAACAAAAAUAUAAAUAAAAUUGGCGUUUCCAUCUGUUAUCCAUGAGGUAUACACAAUUCAAAAAAUGGACAUAAAAAUAAGAUAUACCUAUCUUAAUGGAUAUUGCCGUAUCAUUUAUCAUAAUUUGAGAUAUAUUUAUCUUUUUUCUUUGAUCAGAUAAGAAGAAUAAAAAAGAAGAAGUGACAUUAAUAAAUUGAAAUAGAAACAAGGAAAGCUGCACCAACUCCAUUUAUUAAUGGAAUCCUAGGCUGAGUAUCUUUGACAAAUCUUUUUCUGUCGUCAUUCUUAAAAAACUUAUCAGUAAUAAAAGCAAAGGAGCAGCUAUCUAUCUUAUCUCCCAUUCCCCCACCCAAGGACUUUGCUUACAAGUAAUGGAUCAUCACAACACAGUAGAAGAAGCAAAAAUAAUGUGCCCUCACGUUCUCCUCUUCCCUCUUCCAAUACAAAGCCCUAUCAAUUCCAUGCUUCAACUUGCUGAGCUUUUUUGCCUCGCCGGUUUACAAGUUACUUUCCUCAACACUAAUCACAAUCAACAGCUUCUCUAUCGUCACACCAACGUUGAAUCAAGAUUCAAGCAAUAUCCCAAAUUUCAAUUCCGGACAAUUUCCGAUGGUCUUCCCAAGGAUCAUCCCCGGUCGUCUCUUCUGUUUGGAGACCUUAUUACUUCCUUGCAAGCUGUGGCAGAGCCUUUUCUUAGAGAAAUAUUACUUGGAGUUACAGAGCCCCCUGUUACAUGUGUUAUACCUGAUGGAUUAUUUUAUUAUGCAGUGGAUAUUUGUAAUGAGGUUGGAGUUUCUGUUAUUUCCUUUGAUACUAUUAGUCCUUGUUGCCUAUGGGUUUACCUCUGUUUCCCCAAACUCAUUCAAUCUGGAGAUAUUCCCUUCAAAGGUACUUUCAUUUUUGUUAUUGUAUUUGGAGUUAUGUUACUAAUUUAUGGCCAUCUAACAAGCAAAAAUUUACCUAGG